GAUGAACGCUGGCGGCGUGCCUAAUACAUGCAAGUCGAGCGAACAGACGAGGAGCUUGCUCCUCUGACGUUAGCGGCGGACGGGUGAGUAACACGUGGAUAACCUACCUAUAAGACUGGGAUAACUUCGGGAAACCGGAGCUAAUACCGGAUAACAUGUUGAACCGCAUGGUUCAACAGUGAAAGACGGUCUUGCUGUCACUUAUAGAUGGAUCCGCGCCGCAUUCGCUAGUUGGUAAGGUAACGGCUUACCAAGGCAACGAUGCGUAGCCGACCUGAGCGGUGGAUCGGCCACCCUGGAACUGAGACACGGUCCAGACUCCUACGGGAGGCAGCAGUAGGGAAUCUUCGGCAAUGGGCGAAAGCCUGACGGAGCAACGCCGCGUGAGUGAAGAAGGUCUUCGGAUCGUAAAACUCUGUUAUUAGGGAAGAACAAAUGUGUAAGUAACUAUGCACGUCUUGACGGUACCUAAUCAGAAAGCCACGGCUAACUACGUG
rnacentral:rRNA from 1 species